rnacentral:misc_RNA from 1 species
UCCCCGUUAGACGAGGCAGUCUCCCGUGAUUUGCAACACAGGAUGGGGGUUUCGCUCGUUUGCCCACUUAAGGGUACACUUCACAGCACGAGCUGACGACGACCGUGCAUCACCUGUCAUCCGGCUCCCGAAGGCACCCCCGCAUUUCUGCAGGGUUCCGGAGAUGUCAAGCCCAGGUAAGGUUCCUCGCUUAGCAUCGAAUUAAACCACAUGCUCCACCGCUUGUGCGAGCCCCCGUCAAUUCCUUUGAGUUUUAGCCUUGCGGCCGUACUUCCCAGGCGGCAGGCUUCACGCGUUAGCUUCGGUACACAGAGGGUCGAUACUCCGAAUACCUAGCCUGCAUCGUUUACGGCGUGGACUAC